GAUGAACGCUGGCGGCGUGCUUAACACAUGCAAGUCGAACGGAAAGGCCCAAGCUUGCUUGGGUACUCGAGUGGCGAACGGGUGAGUAACACGUGGGUGAUCUGCCCUGCACUUCGGGAUAAGCCUGGGAAACUGGGUCUAAUACCGGAUAGGACCACUUCUUGGAUGUUGUGGUGGAAAGUUUGUUCGGUGUGGUGUGAGCUUGCGGCCUAUCAGCCUGUUGGUGGGGUAUUGGCCUACCAAGGCGUCGACGGGUAGCCGGACUGUGAGGGUGUACGAACACAGUGGGUCGGUGUCGCGGCACAGAGUCCUACAGGAGGCAAUUGGGGGGAAGAUUGCUCAAUGGGGGCAUGUCUGUUGCGGCGUAGUGCCGGGGGUAAUGACUCUCUUCGGGUUGGAGACGCCUUUCGUAAGGGGCGAGGCGUUUUGUAACGGUACCUGGAGAGGAAGCACCAGCUAACUACGUG
rnacentral:rRNA from 1 species